AUCAUGUAGUAACCAAAAAAGUGUUAACCAAAUUCAAAUAUUUCUUCAAAGUUGCCACCCUUUGUCUUGAUGACAGCUUUGCACAAUCUUGGCAUUCUUUCAACCAGCUUCAUGAGGAAUGCUUUUCCAACAGUCUUGAAGGAGUUCCCACAUAUGCUGAGCACUUGUUGACUGCUUUUCCUUCACUCUGCAGUCCGACUCAUCCCAAACCAUCUCAAUUGGUUUAAAGUCGGGUGAUUGUGGAGGCCAGGUCAUCUGAUGCAGCACUCCAUCACUCUCCUUCUUGGUCAAAUAGCCCUUACACAGCCUGGAGGUGUGUUUUGGGUCAUUGUGCUGUUGAAAAAUGUAUUAUAGUCCUACUAAGCGCAAACCAGAUGGGAAGGCGUGUCGCUGAAGAAUUCUGUGGUAGCCAUGCUGGUUAAGUAUGCCUUCAUUUCUAAAUAGAUCACUGACAGUGUCACCAGCAAAGCACCAUCACACCUCCUCCAUGCUUCACGGUGGGAACCACAUAUGCAGAGAUAACCCGUUUACCUAUUCUGCGUCUCACAAAGACACGGCGGUUGGAACCAACAAUCUCAAAUUUGGACUCAUCAGAUCAAAGGACAUAUUUCCCCCGGUCUAAUGUCCAUUGCUCAUGUUUCUUGGCCCAAGCAAGUCUCUUCUUCUUGUUGGUGUCGUUUUAGUAGUGGUUUCUUUGCAGCAAUUUGACAAUGAAAACCUGAUUCACGCAGUCUCCACUGAGCAGUUGAUGUUGAGAUGUCUUUGUUACUUGAUCUUUGUGAAGCAUUUAUUUGGGCUGCAAUCUGAAGUCCAGUUAACUCUAAUGAAAAUAUCCUCUGCAGCCUCUCCUCUCCUUUCCUGUGGCAGUCCUCAUGAGAGCCAGUUUCAUCAUAGCGCUUGAUGGUUUCAAAGUUCUUGAAAUCUUCCAGAUUGACUGACCUUCAUGUCUUAAAGUAAUGAUGGACUGUUGUUUCUUUUUGCUUAUUUGAGCUGUUCUUGCCAUAAUAUGGACUUGGUCUUUUACCAAAUAUGGCUAGCUUCUGUAUACCACCCCUACCAUGUCACAACACAACUGAUUGGCUCAAACGCAUUUUGAUGGAAACACUUUCCCCAAAUGAACUUUUAACAAGGCACACGUGUUAAUUGAAAUGCCUUCCAGGUGACUACCUCAUGGAGCUGGUUGAGAAAAUGACAAGAGUGUGCAAAGCUGUCAUCAAGGCAAAGUGGCUACUUUGAAAAGUUUCAAAUAUAUAAUAUAUUUUGAUUUGUUUAACAGCUUUUUUGUUACUACAUGAUUCCAUAUGUGUUAUUUCGUAGUUGUGAUGUCUUCACUAUUAUUCUACAAUGUAGAAAAUAGUAAAAACAAAGAAAAACCCUUGAAUGAGUAGGUGUGUCCAAACUUUUGACUGGUACUGUAUGAGAAAAAACCCCAUAAAACACUAUGAUGAAACAGCUUAUCAUGUAAUAGAUUUAUUGAUUGAUUGAUUUAAUUUGCCAGUUAAUAAAACACAUAUACUGCAUACACAUUACAUACAUUUUAAUAAUGUGACCGGGAUAUUACAAAACACUCCCUAAAUUCCAUGGUGCAAAAACAUUACAACAUUUAGACUACAUAGAUACCGAUACAUUACAUACAGACAUGAAGAAAGUUGUUAUAUUGCUCGAUCAUUAGCCAAAUGUGGACAUUCUUUUAAAAAUGUAAUUACGAAGAUAGAUGCACAAAUCAAAAUGUUUGAUCUGUCUUGUUUGCUCUUUAAGGAAUAAAUGAUGGCUAUGAAGUGGAUAGUGGGAGAGUUGAGUACUCCUCUCAUCAAGACCCUUCCACUUGGAAGAAAUGAUCUCACUAAAAAAGCUAUAGAAAACAUAGUCCACCCACACAGACAGUGUGGUGAAGAAGGUGCAACAGCGCCUCUCAACCACAGGAGGCUGAAGAGAACUCUCACAAACUUUUACAGACACACAAUUGAGAACAUCCUGUCGUGCUGUAUCACCGCAUGGUACAGCAACUGCACUGGCUGCAACCGCUGGGCUCUCCACCGUGAAAAAACUACCUGUUCAUCCCGCUAUCAUCCAGAAGGCGAGGUCAGCACAGGUGCAUCAUAGCUGGGACCGAGAGAGUGAAAAACAGCCUCGGCCUGUUCACCCCGCUAUCAUCCAGAAGGCGAGGAGAGAAAAGACUAAACUGAAAACCUACUCUGCGGUACAGUCUAAAGCUUACAAGCAAAAACUCUAACAGGAAGUACCAGUGACGGGUUCAAUACAGAAGUGGUCAGAUGAAGACGGAUGCUAAGCUACAGGACUGUUUCACUAGCGUAGACUGGAAUAUGUUCCGGCAUUCAUCCGAUGGCAUUGAGGAGUUGACCACAUCAAUCACCGGCUUCAUUAUUAAGUACAUCAACGAUGUUGUCCCCACUGUGACCAUACAUACAUUUCCCAAACAGAAACCAUGGAUUACGGUCAACAUCCGCGAUGAGCUAAAGGUUAGAGCUGCCACUUUCAAGAAACGGGACACAUCCGGACUCUUAUAAGAAAUUCACGCUACGCCCUCCGAUGAACCAUCAAACAGACAAACUGUCAAUAUAGGACUAAGAUUGAAUCCUAUUAUACCAUCUCUGAUGCUCGUUGGAUGUGGCAGGGCUCACAAACUAUCACAGAUUACAAAGGGAAACCCAGACGCGAGCUGCCCAGUGACGCGAGCCUACCAGAUGAGGUAAAUGCCUCCUAUGCUCUCUUCGAGGCAAGCAACACUGAACCAGACAUUAGAGAACCAGCUGUUCCAGACGACUGUGCGAUCACGCUCUCUGUAGACAAUGGGAGUAAGACCUUUAAAUAGGUUAACAUUCACAAGGCCGCAGGGCAAGACAGAUUACCAGGACAUGUACUCCGAUCAUGCGUUGACCAGCUGACAAGUGUCUUUACUGAUAUUUUCCAACUUCCCCCUGGCCCAGUCUGUAAUACUUACAUGUUUCAAGCAGACCAGCAUGGCCCUGUGCCCAAGAAUGCUAAGGUAACCUGUCUAAAUUACUUUUGCCACGGAGCACUCACAUCUGUAGCCAUGAAUUGCUUUGAAAGGCUGGUUGUGGUUCACAUCAACACCAUCAUCCCAGACACCCUGGACCCAUUCAAAUUCUCAUAUAGAUCCACAGUUGAAGCAAUCUCUAUUGCACUCCGCACUGCCCUUUCCCACCUGGACAAGAGGAACACCUAUGUGAGAAUGCUGUUCAUUGACUACAGCUUAGCGCUUAACACCAUAGUGCCCUCUAUGUUCAUCACAUGGUUCUUAUGGUCAUGAAAAUCCUGGAAAAGUCAUAGAAUUUUAAAAUUGUGUUUUCCAGGUCUGGAAAAGUUUUUGACAAUUAUUACAUUACAAAGUCAUGGAAGUUAAUGUAAUAAUUUCUGAUAAUGUAAUUUACCAAUAUAUCAGGCAGGAUCGGAAUGACACUUUAGCAGGUCUGUGUUUGCAUGCGUCACCUGCAUGUGUGCCUUUGCUCAAGGAGAGAGAGACAGUCGGACAUUGCAGCAGCAGGUAGGCCUAUAAAAUAUGAUAGAGAACAGACUAACUAGGGAGCCAAUUCAAAACACAUCUGAACCCUCUAGUUAACUGUUUAGCUAUUAUUACCAUGUAUUCAUGUUUUCAUCAUGUCCCAAAAAACUAUCCACCAACACGAGCGAAUAAGGCCAUACAAAGUUAAUUAAUUUAAAUGAUUGUUUUUGAUGAAAUGUACGAUUCACUUCAUUGUAUUAUUUGGGAUUUGGUUCAACUGCAGUGAAUCGAACCAUGUGAAUCAAAAUAAUACUUUUCCCCUUAUCGCGAACAUACAUUUUAGGAAAAUAGAUUCGAUGUAGCAUUUCUUUUGGUUUAUGUGUCUACAAAACUGGUUUGUUUGGGCUUCCUAUGUAUGGGACAUUGCAACACAAUAUAUGCUAGUCAGCUUGUAAAGUAAACACUUCUAAGGUAGUUAAGAUAUACUGUAUAUAACUAAACUAGAAAAGGUACAUUUCCUGAAGAAAAUUUGUGGGCUUGCAUCACUGAACAAAAUAUUUGUAGCCUGCCAUAGCCAUUUGAUCUUUGAUAUAUUGAAUGAGUUAAUUAUUUAAAAAGGCAUAAAAUGUAUCUUGUUGCAAUGUUUUACAUCAAGAGUGGUCAACUAUCCUCCAGGAGAGCUAAUGGAUGUGCAGGCUAUUUUUCUAGUCCCUCUCUUAACAAACCACUUUUUUAGAAUUGAACUGCUCAACCAGACCUUGAUAAACUGUCCCUGACGUGUUUGAGCAGGGCUUGAUCAAAAACCUGCACACACAGUAGUUCUCCAGACUGAGGGUUGACCACAUGUGUUUUAUACAGUUGCUUAACAGGUAUUCUACUUAGGGGUUGGGUUAAGUUCCUUGCUCAAUGACAGGAGACGGUACAUGGGAUCAGAGAGCAGCCUCCCAGUGUUGAUUCCACAUUAUGUUUACUUUUUUAUACAUAAAUGGACACGCCGCCAAUUGUUGGUCAUGAAAAUUCGAUGAAAGUCAUGAAAUUGUCAAAAUGUGUAUGACCCCUGUCGUCACAAAGCUAAGGACCCUGGGACUAAACAACUGGAUCCUGGACAUCCUGACUGGUCGCCCCCAGGUGGUGCGGGUAGGCAACAACACAUUCGCCACGCUGACCCUUAACACGGAGGCCACUCUCAUGUGUGCAUGUUCAGUCUCCUCCCAUACUCCCCGUUCACCCGCGACUGUGUGACUGCAAAUGACUCCAACACCAUCAUUAAGUUUGCCGACGAAAUACCGCUGGUAGGGCUGAUGGCCAAUGAUGAUGAGACAGCCUAUAAGGAGGAAGUUCUGAACAUCUCUAAAACUAAGAGCAUUGUAUUUGGUACAAAUCAUUCCUUAAUAAGUGCUAGACCUCAGCUGAAUCUGGUAAUGUAUGGUGUGGCUGUUGAACAAGUUGAGGAGACUAAAUGACUUGGCGUUACCUUAGAUUGUAAACUGUCAUGGUCAAAACAUAUAGAUUCAAUGGUUGCAAAGAUGGGGAGAGGUCUAGCCGUAAUAAAGAGAUGCUCUGAUUUUUUUUUGACACCACACUCCAAAAAGCAAGUUCUGCAGGCUCUAGUAUUGUCUAAUCUUGAUUAUUGUCCAGUUGUGUGGUCCAGUGCUGCAAGGAAAGACCUAGUUAAGCUGCAGCUGGCCCAGAACAGAACGGCACGUUCUGCUCUUCAUUGUAAUCAGAGAGCGGAUAUAAAUACCAUGCAUGUCAGUCUCUCUUGGCUAAGAGUUGAGGAGAGACUGACUGCAUCACUUCUUGUUUUUAUAAGAAACAUGAAUGUGUUGAAAAUUCCAACUUGUUUGCAUAGUAAACUUACACACAGCUGACACACACACUUACCCCACCAGACAUGCCACCAGGGGUCUUUUCACAGUCUCCAAAUCCAAAACAAAUUCAAGAAAGCGUCCAGUAUUAUGUAGAGCCAUUAUUGCAUAGAACUAUGUCCCAUCUCAUAUUGAUCAAAUAAACAGCAAAGCUGGUUUCAAAAAACAGAUAAAGCAACAACUCACGGCACAACGCCUCUCCUCUAUUUGACCUAGAUAGUUUGUGUGUAUGUAUUGAUAUGUAGCCUACGUGUGCCUACAAAAAUAUAUGUAGUUCUGUUCUUGUCUAAUGAUGUUCUAUAUUAUGUCAUUCUGUAUUAUGUUUCAUGUUUUGUGUGGACCACAGUAAGAGUAGCUGCUGCUUUUGCAACAGCUAAUCAAAUACCAAAUACCUGGCAGUGCGGUGCCAGAACAACAACCUCUCCCUCAACGUCAGCAAGACAAAGGAGCUGAUUGUGGACUACAUGAAACGGAAGGGCCGAGCAUGCCCCCAUUCACAUCGACGGGGCUGUACUGGAGCGGGUCGAGAGCUUCAAGUUCCUCGUUGUCUAGAUCACUAAGGAUCUAUCGUGGUCCACACACGAACACAGUCGUAAAGAGGGAAAGAUAAUGGCUCUCCCCCCUCAGGAGGCUGAAAAGAUUUGUCCUUAUCCUCAAAACUUUCUACAGGUGCAACAUUGAGAGCAUCUUGACUGACGGCAUCACCCUCCUGGUAUGGCAACUGCCUGGCUUCCAACCGCAAGGCGCUACAGAGGGUAGUGUGUACGGCCCAGUACAUCACUGGGGCCAUGCUCCCUGCCAUCUGGGAUCUCUAUACAUGCUGUGCCAGAGGACAGCCCUAAAAAGUAUCAAAGACUCCAGCCACCCAAGUUAUAGACUGUUCUCUCUGCUACCGCAUGGCUAGCGGUUCUGAUGCAGCAAGUCUGGAAUCAACAGGACCCUGAACAUCUUCUACUCCCAAACCAUAACACUGGUAAAUAGUUAGUCCAGUUAGCUAUUUGGUUAACUGUUUAACUAUCUUCAUUAACCCUUUUUUCCACCAACUUUUUCGACUUAUCAAGCUGCUGCCACUGUUUAUUUUCUGUCACUUUAUUCCUAGUUAUAUUUAAAUACCUCAAUUACAUCAUACCCCUGCACGUCGACUUGGUACUGGUACCCUGUGUAUAUAGCCAAGUUAUUGUUACUCAUUUUGUAUUUGUUAUUACUUUUAUUAUUACAUGUUUUACUUUUCUAUUAUUUAUCUAUUUCCUUUCUCUCUGCAUUGUUGGGAAGGUCCUGUAAGUACCUAUUUCACUGUUAGUCUACACCUGUUGUUUACGAAGCAUGUGACGAAUAAAAUUUGAUUUGAAAAUUCA